CCUUAAUGCCGGAGACAAAAUUUCUCUCAAAAUAUUUUGGAUUUUACCAUUGCAUACAAUGUAACCAACUGAUACCAUUCUCAGUGUUAACAAAUUAGAAAAGCAUGUCAUUUUUUGUCAUGCACGUAGAGACUUGUGGGAAAAUCCUGAUGACCUCUUUUUCUGACACAGCAGGUUUAUCAUUCCAAUGAAGUAGAUAUCUAUUUAACUUGUUUGACUGCAAGACUUCUUUUGAC